rnacentral:rRNA from 1 species
GAUGAACGCUGGCGGCGUGCCUAAUACAUGCAAGUCGAGCGAACGGACGAGAAGCUUGCUUCUCUGAUGUUAGCGGCGGACGGGUGAGUAACACGUGGAUAACCUACCUAUAAGACUGGGAUAACUUCGGGAAACCGUAGCUAAUACCGGAUAAUAUUUUGAACCGCAUGGUUCAAUAGUGAAAGACGGUCUUGCUGUCACUUAUAGAUGGAUCCGCGCUGCAUUAGCUAGUUGGUAAGGUAACGGCUUACCAAGGCAACGAUGCAUAGCCGACCUGAGAGGGUGAUCGGCCACACUGGAACUGAGACACGGUCCAGACUCCUACGGGAGGCAGCAGUAGGGAAUCUUCCGCAAUGGGCGAAAGCCUGACGGAGCAACGCCGCGUGAGUGAUGAGGGUCUUCGGAUCGUAAAACUCUGUUAUUAGGGAAGAACAUAUGUGUAAGUAACUGUGCACAUCUUGACGGUACCUAAUCAGAAAGCCACGGCUAACUACGUG